rnacentral:rRNA from 1 species
GACGAACGCUGGCGGCGUGCUUAACACAUGCAAGUCGAACGGAAAGGCCUCUUUCGGGGGGUACUCGAGUGGCGAACGGGUGAGUAACACGUGAGUAACCUGCCCUUGACUUUGGGAUAACUUCAGGAAACUGGGGCUAAUACCGGAUAGGAGCUCCUGCUGCAUGGUGGGGGUUGGAAAGUUUCGGCGGUUGGGGAUGGACUCGCGGCUUAUCAGCUUGUUGGUGGGGUAGGGGCUUACCAAGGCUUUGACGGGUAGCCGGCCUGAGAGGGUGACCGGCCACAUUGGGACUGAGAUACGGCCCAGACUCCUACGGGAGGCAGCAGGGGGGAAUAUUGCACAAUGGGUGGAAGCCUGAUGCAGCAACGCCGUGUGCGGGAUGACGGCCUUCGGGUUGUAAACCGCUUUCGCUCAUGACGAAGCUUUGUGUGACGGUAGUGGGUAAAGAAGCACCGGCUAACUACGUG